rnacentral:rRNA from 1 species
UACGUAGGUGGCAAGCGUUGUCCGGAAUUAUUGGGCGUAAAGCGCGCGCAGGUGGUUUCUUAAGUCUGAUGUGAAAGUCCACGGCUCAACCGUGGAGGGUCAUUGGAAACUGGGGAACUUGAGUGCAGGAGAGAAGAGUGGAAUUCCACGUGUAGCGGUGAAAUGCGUAGAGAUGUGGAGGAACACCAGUGGCGAAGGCGACUCUUUGGCCUGUAACUGACACUGGAGGCGCGAAAGCGUGGGGAGCAAACAGG